CGAAAGCCUGACGGAGCAAUACCGCGUGAGGGAGGAAGGCUCUUGGGUUGUAAACCUCAAAACUUAGGGAAGAAAAAAAUGACGGUACCUAAUCUAAGCAUCGGCUAACUCCGUGCCAGCAGCCGCGGUAAUACGGAGGAUGCAAGCGUUAUCCGGAAUUAUUGGGCGUAAAGAGUCCGUAGGUGGCAAUUCAAGUCUGUGGUCAAAGACUAGAGCUUAACUCUGGAAAGGCAGUGGAAACUGAGAAACUAGAGUUCGGUAGGGGUAGCGGGAAUUCCCAGUGUAGCGGUGAAAUGCGUAGAUAUUGGGAAGAACAUCGGUGGCGAAGGCGCGCUACUGGACCGAAACUGACACUCAGGGACGAAAGCUAGGGUAGCG
rnacentral:rRNA from 1 species